rnacentral:rRNA from 1 species
UACGUAGGGUGCAAGCGUUGUCCGGAAUUAUUGGGCGUAAAGAGCUCGUAGGCGGUCUGUCGCGUCGGCUGUGAAAACUCGGGGCUCAACUCCGAGCCUGCAGUCGAUACGGGCAGACUAGAGUUCGGUAGGGGAGACUGGAAUUCCUGGUGUAGCGGUGAAAUGCGCAGAUAUCAGGAAGAACACCUAUGGCGAAGGCAGCUCUCUGGGACGGUACUGACGCUGAGACGCGAAAGCGUGGGGAGCGAACAGG